rnacentral:rRNA from 1 species
GAUUAGAGUUUGAUCCUGGCUCAGGAUGAACGCUAGCGGGAGGCCUAACACAUGCAAGCCGAGCGGUAUUGUUUCUUCGGAAAUAAGAGAGCGGCGUACGGGUGCGGAACACGUGUGCAACCUGCCUUUAUCUGGGGGAUAGCCUUUCGAAAGGAAGAUUAAUACUCCAUAAUAUAUUGAACGGCAUCGUUUGAUAUUGAAAGCUCCGGCGGAUAGAGAUGGGCACGCGCAAGAUUAGCUAGUUGGUGAGGUAACGGCUCACCAAGGCAAUGAUCUUUAGGGGGCCUGAGAGGGUGAUCCCCCACACUGGUACUGAGACACGGACCAGACUCCUACGGGAGGCAGCAGUGAGGAAUAUUGGUCAAUGGGUGCAAGCCUGAACCAGCCAUCCCGCGUGAAGGACGACUGCCCUAUGGGUUGUAAACUUCUUUUGUAUAGGGAUAAACCUACCCUCGUGAGGGUAGCUGAGGGUACUAUACGAAUAAGCACCGGCUAACUCCGUGCCAGCAGCCGCGGUAAUAAU